rnacentral:tRNA from 1 species
GCAGUGGUGGUUCAGUGGUAGAAUUCUUGUCCUCCAUGCACAAAACCUAGGUUCCAUUCCUGGCCAAUGCA